rnacentral:rRNA from 1 species
CAUUCAGUUGGGCACUCUAAUGAGACUGCCGGUGACAAGCCGGAGGAAGUGGGGAUGACGUCAAGUCCUCAUGGCCCUUAUAGGUGGGGCUACACACGUCAUACAAUGGCUGGUACAAAGGGUUGCCAACCCGCAGGGGGAGCUAAUCCCAUAAAGCCAGUCGUAGUCCGGAUCGUAGUCCGCAACUCGACUACGUGAAGUCGGAAUCGCUAGUAAUCGUGGAUCAGAAUGUCACGGUGAAUACGUUCCCGGGUCUU